rnacentral:rRNA from 1 species
CCCCUAGACGUUCUGGGCUGCACGCGCGCUACAAUAAUACGCACAGCGAGUAUCACCGAGCUCGAAAGGGCAAGGUAAACAAUAGAAAAGGUACUGUAAUGGUUAUAGAUCCUUGUAAUUAUUGAUCUUCAACGAGGAAUUCCUAGUAAGUAUGUGUCAUCAUCACGCACUGAUUACGUCCCUGCCCUUUGUACACACCGCCCGUCGCUCCUACCGAUUGGGUGAGCCGAUGAAACUCUCGGACGUAGGCUAUUCAUAGCCCGCAGAAGAGAUUUGAAUCGUAGCGCUUAGAGGAAGGAGAAGUCGUAACA